rnacentral:rRNA from 1 species
UAGAGUUUGAUCCUGGCUCAGGAUGAACGCUGGCGGCGUGCCUAAUACAUGCAAGUCGAGCGAAUGGAUUAAGAGCUUGCUCUUAUGAAGUUAGCGGCGGACGGGUGAGUAACACGUGGGUAACCUGCCCAUAACCCUGGGAUAACUCCGGGAAACCGGGGCUAAUACCGGAUAAUAUUUUGAUCUGCAUGGUUCGAAAUUGAAAGGCGGCUUCGGCUGUCACUUAUGGAUGGACCCGCGUCGCAUUAGCUAGUUGGUGCGGUAACGGCUCACCAAGGCAACGAUGCGUAGCCGACCUGAGAGAGUGAUCGGCCACACUGGGACUGAGACACGGCCCAGAUUCCUACGGGAGGCAGCAGUAGGGAAUCUUCCGCAAUGGACGAAAGUCUGACGGAGCAACGCCGCGUGAGUGAUGAAGGCUUUCGGGUCGUAAAACUCUGUUGUUAGGGAAGAACAAGUGCUAGUUGAAUAAGCUGGCACCUUGACGGUACCUAACCAGAAAGCCACGGCUAACUACGUGCCAGCAGCCGCGGUAAUACGUAGGUGGCAAGCGUUAUCCGGAAUUAUUGGGCGUAAAGCGCGCGCAGGUGGUUUCUUAAGUCUGAUGUGAAAGCCCACGGCUCAACCGUGGAGGGUCAUUGGAAACUGGGAGACUUGAGUGCAGAAGAGGAAAGUGGAAUUCCAUGUGUAGCGGUGAAAUGCGUAGAGAUAUGGAGGAACACCAGUGGCGAAGGCGACUUUCUGGUCUGUAACUGACACUG